GCCCCAGUGGCCUAAUGGAUAAGGCACUGGCCUCCUAAGCCAGGGAUUGAGGGUUCGAGUCCCUUCUGAGGUG
rnacentral:tRNA from 1 species